CUUUCCCUUCGGGGACAAAGUGACAGGUGGUGCAUGGUUGUCGUCAGCUCGUGUCGUGAGAUGUUGGGUUAAGUCCCGCAACGAGCGCAACCCUUAAUUUUAGUUGCCAGCAUUUAGUUGGGCACUCUAAAGUGACUGCCGGUGCAAGCCGGAGGAAGGUGGGGAUGACGUCAAAUCAUCAUGCCCCUUAUGACCUGGGCUACACACGUGCUACAAUGGAUAGUACAAAGGGUCGCGAAGCCGCGAGGUGGAGCUAAUCCCAUAAAACUAUUCUCAGUUCGGAUUGUAGGCUGCAACUCGCCUACAUGAAGCCGGAAUCGCUAGUAAUCGUGGAUCAGCAUGCCACGGUGAAUACGUUCCCGGGCCUUGUACACACCGCCCGUCACACCACGAGAGUUUGUAACACCCGAAGUCGGUAGGGUAACCUUUAUGGAGCCAGCCGCCGAAGGUGGGACAGAUAAUUGGGGUGAAGUCGUAACAAGGUAGCCGUAUCGGAAGGUGCGGCUGGAUCACCUCCUUUCUAAGGAA
rnacentral:rRNA from 1 species